rnacentral:rRNA from 1 species
AUUGAACGCUGGCGGCAUGCUUUACACAUGCAAGUCGAACGGUAACAGGGUGCUUGCACCGCUGACAAGUGGCGAACGGGUGAGUAAUGCGUCGGAACGUGCCGAGUAGUGGGGGAUAACGCAGUGGAAGUUGUGCUAAUACCGCAUACGUACUGAGGUAGAAAGUGGGGGACCUUCGGGCCUCACGCUAUUCGAGCGGCCGACGUCUGAUUAGCUAGUAGGUGAGGUAAAGGCUCACCUAGGCGACGAUCAGUAGCGGGUCUGAGAGGAUGUUCCGCCACGCUGGGACUGAGACACGGCCCAGACUCCUACGGGAGGCAGCAGUGGGGAAUUUUGGACAAUGGGCGAAAGCCUGAUCCAGCCAUGCCGCGUGUCUGAAGAAGGCCUUCGGGUUGUAAAGGACUUUUGUCAGGGAGGAAAUCCCUAGUGCUAAUAACACUGGGGGAUGACAGUACCUGAAGAAUAAGCACCGGCUAACUACGUGCCAGCCGCCGCGGUAA